rnacentral:rRNA from 1 species
GCAAGUCGAACGAACCCUUCGGGGUGAGUGGCGCACGGGUGCGUAACACGUGGGAAUGUACCUCUAGGUACGGAAUAACUCACCGAAAGGUGUGCUAAUACCGUAUAAUGACUCCGGUCCAAAGAUUUAUCGCCUAGAGAUCAGCCCGCGCUAGAUUAGGUAGUUGGUGAGGUAAAAGCUCACCAAGCCGACGAUCUAUAGCUGGUCUGAGAGGAUGAUC